rnacentral:rRNA from 1 species
GACGAACGCUGGCGGCGUGCCUAAUACAUGCAAGUCGAGCGCAGGAAAUCGACGGAACCCUUCGGGGGGAAGUCGAUGGAAUGAGCGGCGGACGGGUGAGUAACACGUAAAGAACCUGCCCUCAGGUCUGGGAUAACCACGAGAAAUCGGGGCUAAUACCGGAUGGGUCGUCGGACCGCAUGGUCCGAGGAUGAAAGGCGCUUCGGCGUCGCCUGGGGAUGGCUUUGCGGUGCAUUAGCCAGUUGGUGGGGUAAUGGCCCACCAAGGCGACGAUGCAUAGCCGACCUGAGAGGGUGAUCGGCCACACUGGGACUGAGAGACGGCCCAGACUCCUACGGGAGGCAGCAGUAGGGAAUCUUCCACAAUGGACGAAAGUCUGAUUGAGCAACGCCGCGUGAACGAUGAAGGCCUUCGGGUCGUAAAGUUCUGUUGUAAGGGAAGAACAAGUGCCGCAGGCAAUGGCGGCACCUUGACGGUACCUUGCGAGAAAGCCACGGCUAACUACGUGCCAGCCGCCGCGGUAA